rnacentral:lncRNA from 1 species
UCUGGACUCCUUCUCUAAUCGUACGAGCUGUUUUUUCUUUCCUUUCAUAAUUUCAUUCGUGGGCAAUUGAGGCAGGCAGAAAGGGAGGAUGCAGUCAAAGAAGUCGGAUGAGAGAUAGUGGGUGGUUUUUGUAUUUUUUUGGUACUAUAAUUUGCUUUAAGGUUAAACACAACUUAAUCUCAUUAAUUAAUCAUUAUAAAUAUUUUAUUGUUUUAAAAUUUAAACACUGAGCUUGUUUUUUUAUUGACAUUUCAAAAUAUGAUUACAUACUAAAUAAAUCAGAUUUAUUUUUGUAAAAAUAAUUAUUUAUUUUUCUUGUUUUAUAUAAUUAAGAUAAAGAUAUUUGAAAUAAAAAAUAAGUAAUUUAACAUAUUUUUAAAUAUCCCAAAAUAUCAGAUUACAUUAUAAUAACAAAAAAUUUAAUGAUGAUAAAAUAAUUAGUAAUUAUAUAGUAAUUAAAGUUUUAAAUUAUAUUUGGUUGCUAAGAAAUGUUAGAAAUAUUUUAUGUAAACUUUUAUAAAAUACUUACUGGGUUGUAUGUGACACAUAUUUGGAUGUAUUGAUUUUUUAUUUAAAUGGUUAAUUUAUUAUUUUUAAAAUUUUCUAUUAUGGUAAUUAACAACAUCAAAUCAUACAUUUUUAUUUUUAAUAUUAAUUAAAAAAAUUAUUUGAGUGAAUGUUUACAUAAAUGUGAAUUGGGUUUUGGAGUUAUAAUUAGAGAAAAUAUAUUUGAAUUAAUGUAGAUAAUUCAAAUAUUAUUAAGGUAAGCAAUGAAAUCAUUAAAAUUGAAACAUGAUCAGGUAAAAAACUUUGUCCUCUUCCUUGUUGAUCAUUCUAUAAAUAAAGCAUAAAUAACCAGGGAAUGCACUUGUAUCUAAGCCUACCUUUCCUUUCACUUCUUCAGUGUCACUACCAUGGAUGUGUCUUCCCUUCACACAUCGCUCUCUCUUCUCUUCGUGUUUCUCUUGCUUGCUUUCGGAAUCUUCUUCCCAAGAAGACGAAGAUAUGGGAAUCUCCCACCCAGCCCGCCUGCAGUUCCGAUUAUAGGUCAUCUCCACCUCCUCAAACAACCGGUUCAUCGAUCUCUACAACUCCUUUCACAAAAGUACGGUCCAAUCUUCUCCCUCCGAUUCGGAUCCCAGCUCGCGGUCAUCGUUUCCUCUCCCUCCGCCGUCGAAGAAUGCUUCACCAAGAACGACGUCGUCUUGGCCAACCGCCCUCGCUUUGCGUCCGGCAAGUACAUGGGGUACAACUACACCACCGUUGCCGCGGCAUCAUACGGCGAACACUGGCGCAACCUCCGUCGCCUCAGCGCCCUGGAAAUCUUCUCCUCCAAUCGCCUCAACAUGUUUCUAGGCAUCCGCAGGGAUGAAGUCAAGCGUCUACUCCUCCGACUGGCUCGAGAUUCGAGGGAGGGUUUUGCAAAGGUAGAGCUGAGACCCAUGCUUACAGAGCUAACCUUUAAUAUUAUAACGAGGAUGGUUGCAGGAAAGAGAUACUACGGAGAAGACGUGGAAUAUACGGAGGCUAAACGUUUUCGGGAGAUUAUCAGCCAGCUUUUCGUACUGGUUGGGGCAUCAUCAAAUCCAGCAGAUUUUUUGCCCAUAUUGCGAUGGACUGGGCUCGGAUACCAUGAGAAGAAGCUAAAGAAUAUCAUGAGAGAGACAAAGGCGAUCAUGCAGGGUUUGAUUGAUGAGCAUAGAAGUGGUAAUGACAAGGGUUCGGUGGAUAAUAAUUCUAUGAUCGACCAUCUGUUAUCCUUGCAAAAAACAGAACCAGAGUACUACACAGAUGACAUUAUUAAAGGGCUUGUACAGGUGAGUGAAACGCUGUUUUCGUAUCUGCUGUAUUUUCAAAGUUUAUUCUAAAAUUUCACAGAAAACAAAAAUAAAAGUGCAGUUUAAUACUUGUAGUGGGAAACUUGGUUUUUGAAGUGUAUAAUGUUGGUUUUUUUGUGGGUUUUUUUACUUCUUUUUUCAUCUCACAAAUUCUUCAAUACAGGUCUUAAUUCUUGCUGGAACCGACACUUCAGCAUCAACAAUGGAAUGGGCAAUGACCCUUCUCCUCAAUCAUCCGGAUGUUUUGGAGAAAGCUAAAGCAGAGUUGGAUAUGCACGUUGGAAAGGACCGCUUGAUAGAAGAAUCUGAUCUUCCCAAACUGCGGUACCUUCAAAGUAUCAUUUCUGAGACUUUGAGAGUAUUUCCUGUGACCCCUCUGUUACUGCCCCAUAUGUCCUCAGAUGACUGUCAAAUAGGGGGUUUUGAUAUACCACGAGGCACAUUAUUACUGGUAAAUGCAUGGGCCCUUCACAGAGACCCUCAGGUGUGGGUAGAUCCUACAAGUUUCAAACCUGAAAGGUUUGAAAAUGGAGAACGUGAGAAUUACAAACUAGUACCAUUUGGAAUAGGAAGAAGAGCCUGUCCUGGAUCUGGCCUAGCUCAGCGAGUGGUGGGUUUGGCUUUGGGGUCGUUGAUUCAGUGCUAUGACUGGAAGAAGAUUAGCAACACCGCUAUUGACACCAUUGAAGGGAAAGGGCUGACCAUGCCCAAACUGCAGCCAUUGGAAGCCAUGUGUAAGGCACGUGAGAUUAUAAACGAGGUUCACUUGAACUAGAAAACAAUAUUUAGUUGGUAUUAGUACUCUGGUAUUUUGCUUGUAUUGAUGCAAUAAGCAUUCUCUGAUGCAUUUCGAGUAUCGUCCCCGUUAUAAAUAUGUAUUAUAUGCUAAGAUUGUCGUUAUGUCGAUUAUCAUACUAGCAGAUUUCUUUUGCUUUGGAGAGCAGAGUGGAAAUCUAAAUCUUAAAAUCAUAAUAAUAAAAAUAUUGAAAUAUUUAAUUUCUCAUUUGAAUAUGCCUUUUUUUUUUUUGCCUGUUAAAUUUUUAAAUUGAUCGUUUUCCUCUUUGAUUUUAAAACUUAAUGGUUCUGUUGAAUAUAUUUGAGAAUGAAAAAAAAAAUCAUUAUUUUUUGUUUGAGAAUGUGUGCCAAUGCUGUGCAGAUGAAUGAACUGUUGCAUGAUAAUGGACUAACAAUAUGUGUCAAAUUGACGAUCAUUCUAACUUUGUCUAAUUCAUAUUAUAUCAUUUUUCUGACUUGAAAAAUCUCCCUCCAUUAUCCUCUCCCAUGACUUUAAUUUCACAUCACUUUUCAACCCAAAGUUGAAGCUCAACGCCAUGAUUAUCAUGUUGACCAACGUAACGAGAAUUUCCAUUCGUCGAGGCUCAUUCCAAAUUAAAGCAGACAGCCUGACCAUACUAUUGCGUGGGCCUUAAAUUUUCUUUAGUCCAGAAUCUCAUAUCAUUCAGUCUUAUCUUAAUUUUCUGGAUUAUCCUCUCCACUAUGGAUAAUUGUGUUUUGGAUCCAACUGAACUCAAAAAUUAAUAUUUGGUUCAUAUAAUUUACAUAACUAAUAAAAAUAAUAUAAGAUGUUAAGAAAUCAAUACACCUUUCAAAUUUUUAUAUAUUACCUUUUAAAAAUAUAAAAUAGUGAUGAACUAAAAUACCUAAUAACCUUUCGGAUAAGCUUUUUUAAAAUUUGGAUUUUAAUAAUUUUUACACUACUAUUCAUGCAACCAUAAUAAUUCUAUUUUAACAAUUUGAAUUUUUCAUUGUUUUUAAUUUUUUAUUAUAAAUAAUUGAAAAUCAACAUUAUUUUCUAUUUUAAAUUAUAAAUAAAGAAAAAUUAUGUUCAAAAACUAUUUUAAAAAAUACUUUCUAAAAAAAUGGUAAUAUGAUUUAUAUUUUUUAUAUUUUAUUUUUGAAAAAACAUUUAAUUAAAAAAUGAAAACUAUUUUUAAAAAUAAAAAUUGAAAACCUUGUUUAGUACUAUUUUUUAUGUGAAAAUAAUAAAAAGAAUUAAAUUUUAUUUAUUGAUUAUCCAUUUUUAUUUUUUUUCCAUUAGUUAUUUUAAUAAUAAUAAUAAAAAUAUAGUUGGUUUACAAUUAAACAAAUGAAUUGGUUAAUUAUAUGUUUUUUUAUGUGACUAUCUUUUACAUGAAAAAUAAUUAAAUAACUAAAUUAUAUAUGUUUAUUACUAUUUUUAAUUUUAUUUUCUUUAUUUAUUUUUUGUAUAAUAGAAAAUUUUAAUAUAUCCAUAAUUAACAAAGUAAUAGAUUAAUUGUACACAUUUUGAUUUAUUAAAAUAAAUUAAUUUCUAAUUUAAAUAAAUAAAAUGAAAUAAGUAAAUAAAUUUGAGGUUAUUUCUAUUUUUUAACAUAUCUUAUAUUAAUAUUUUUUAUAGUUAAAUAAAUUUUUUAUUAUUUUUUUCUUUAAUUCCAAAAUAAAAUAAAUAAAUAAAUAAAUAAAUUUGGUAUUUUCUAACUGAUCUUAUAUUCAUAUUUCUUAUGAUUAAAUAAAUUUUUUAUUCUUUUUUCUUUAUUUCCAAAAAUAAAAGGAAAUAAAUAAAUAAACUUGGCUUAAAUAAUAAUUUUUAAGUAAUUUCUUUGUCUUAUUUUUAAUUACAUUUUGUAUUGAAAAUAAAAUAAAAUAACGUUUUAUUUAACUCGCAUAUGACAAUUCGAAUACUUAUCCCACUAAUGAUGUUUGAAAGAAAAUUUUGUUUUUCUAUCUUCUACUAUUUUUUGAACCAAACCAAUGAAAACAUGGUUAAUCUACGUAUGAUUACACAUUGAGUAGGGGUAUAUGAAAUUUUGAGUCACUGUACAAGGUAUUUACACUAAGUAUACAUGAUAAAUAUAUUAAUUGUAUUAGGGUGUACAAGACUAUUAUUUGUGAAAAAUUUUGAGUGAUUCUGAAAAACUUGUUUAUUUAUUUUUCCUAACUGAUGAUAGAUGACAUUCCUUACACACAUUGGUUAAGUAUACAUUCAUUUCAUGCAUUUUAUCUAAUUUGUAUAUGGUCAUUUAAAUAAGUACCUCACUUAUGAUGAUUGUACAAUAAAAUUAUACAACAAUUUUUCUUCUUUUUUAAAACCAAACUAAUGCAAACAUGGUUAACUGAAUUAUUGUCAGAUAUUCAUGAAAUGAUGUAUGAAAUUUGAGUUAUUAUACAAGGGUGUUACACUAACUGUACAAGACAAAUUUACUAAUUGUAUAAAGGUGUAUAAGAUUACUUUUUGUUAAGGAUUUCAAGUGAUUUUGAAAAACUUUCUCAUUUUUUUAACUCAAGGAUUUUUGCGCACUCAAAUUCUCUCACUUAAGAAUUGUUUCGAAUUUUAUUUUUAAAUUUUAUCAUCAAAAUUUUGUAAUUGCAUAUUUCGUUUUUUUAGUUUUAGUAAUGUUCUUUCUUUCCACUAUUUUUUUUUGUGAAAUUUUAUCCAAUUUAAUCUAUAUUUAAAAUUAUAAUCAUAUUUAUCAAAUUUUUUUACUAAAAUUAUCUUUAAUUUUUUUAAUAUAUUUAUACUCAUUUAUUUAAAAAAAUGAAAAACUAAUUUUUUUUUAUAAACAUGUUCUAUUAUCUUUCAAGUAAAAAUUAGAUAAGUUUGAAAGUUAAUAAAAAAAAUUAAAUACCACUUUCAAUAAAUUGUAUUGACAGUUUUCUUAUUGUGAGUCAAAAUACUUUGUAUUAGUCUAUCUAUAUAAGAAAAAUUAUUAAUAUAAUAUUAGAACUUUAUAUCUUAGUUAUUUUUUUCAAUAAAUUUAUCUUUUAAAAAAUUUUAAAAUAAAAACAUUAAAAAUUAAAAAGCUAAAAGGAUAUAUAAUAAGAGUGAAGUGAUAGUCAUUUUUAAAAUUUUUUAAAUAUGGUUAAUGUAGAAUAUAUAAAAAAUAAUUAAAAAUAAGAGAAAAAGUAUAAAUGAAAGGGUAAUAUAAAUUUAAAAUAAAAAAUGAAAAUUAAACUAAAAGAUAAAUACAAAAGAUAAAAAAUAUUUGGAUGAAAAAUUCCAAAAUUUUUAUCCUUACUUAUAAUAAGAGUAAAAAGAUUCAAUAUAUUUAAAAAUAAAAAUUAAAAAAAAUAAAAAUAUUAUUACUUUUUAUUUGACAUAAAAUAGAAUUAUAGAUUGGAAAAAAAAAAGUUAGAAAUGGGUAAUACUUAAUAGGGAAUAGAAAAGGGAAAAAAACACAAAAAAAUUAAAAUUCACACUCACUAUGUGCUUAUGUAAGGGUUAAGGGUAUUUUAGGGAUUAAUGAAAGACAAUAUUAUUCUUCUCAAUUUUCAAACUUUUUUUUGGAUGUUGGACUUAAUUAUGAAAGAUAUAUGAAAUCGAUUUUAAUUUUGGCUCACCAAAACACAAUUCUCCCAAAAUGAAUUUAUCAGAAUUUGUGUUAAACAGGCCGCCUCCACUGCCCCAUGGAGGAUGGCGGCGCUUCAGGCGUAGACUUUCAAGGACAACUUGGCUGUUUGAUACAUUUCCUAUAAAAAAUAGGUGUUUGAUAAACUUUUGAAAACCUCUUUAUCUAUUCCUAUCACAGUAUGAUGCAACUUUAUCACAAGAGUCUACUCAAUGUAAGACAAACUCUCUGAUUGCUUAAUAUUUUUUGUAUUAAAAAGAAUAGUUUACACCUCAUUCAUAAUCGAUUAUUGUCUUUCUUAUUGAAAGUGUAGCCGCCUGUCUCAUGUGAUUUUGGCAGGGCUGUCAAUAAAAUAAUAAUUUUAUCUUCAUCUUUAAUCUUAAUUUUUAUUCUCAAUAAAUGAGUUAUGCAAUUCUUAAAUUUAUUUAUGUGAUCCUUAAGAUUUGUUCUUUCAUCCAUUUUGAACUCAUAUAAUUACUUCUUCAAAUAUAAUCUAUUUGUUAAAAAUUUUAAAAUAUAAGUUUUUUUUGUCAUUUUUGCCAUAAAUCAGAAGAAGAUCUUUCAUUCAAAACACUAUAUUUUAGUUAACGAGUUAGACUUAAACAAAUAGCAUUUACUACUUUUGCUUUAAUUCUUCCCAUUGUUCAUCCACUAUGCUCUUCGGUUUCUUAUCUUGUAAUGCUUUAAAAAGUCCUUGUUGCACCAAAAUAUCUAUAACCAUAUUUUGCUAAAUACGGAGAUGAUUUUUUCCAUCAAAUGACUUACUAUCAUAUUUUAUACCAAACAUCAUCUUUAAAAUAAUUUUUCUAUGGUUUUCACACUAUGACUCUAGUACCACUUGUUGAAAGAAAUCACAAUACCCAAAUGUAUUUUGAAACAUAAAGAAAAUUGUGGACUCCGCAUUUCGACCCAUGCGUUUUCACUCGAUGGCGAGCUCAAUUUUUAUUUGAAAAUGAUUUUAUUUAUUAAAAAAUGACUUGGAGUCGUCACUUAUUUUUACUUUAUUUUUUAAAAGGGUAAAUAAAAUAAGAAAGAAAACUCUAAGUGUGACUCAUUAUUUUGAAAAAGGUGGUCUAUGAAAAAUCGGAUCGGGUUCGAGGGUUAGGUUACUUAUCAGGAAGGUAUGGUAAAGACUGUAACACCCUUUUAAGUCCCUAAAAUCGGGUCUCUACUAAUAAAAUGAAGCUGAUGUGGCAAUCAAUAUGGAAAUCAAUGGAUACUCAAAUCGAUUAUGCACCUAUGAGAAUCAAAACAUGCAUAAAGAAUGACCAAAAUGAGAGUAGAUGCAUACCUGGGCCACGAAUGAGCAAUGUGCUAUCAUAAAAAAUGGGGUCAAUGUACAAUAAAGAACACAAAACAUAUCACCUGUAUCACCAAACAAAAAUUAAAAUUGUUCGAGGAAAAACUGGAUUUUUGAAAAUUGGAGUCUUAAAGAUUAUUUGAAAAUUGAUAUUUUAGAGAUUAAAUGUAAGAAUGAGAAUUUUAAAAAUUAAAUUUGAAGAAAUUUUGAAAGUUAUUUGAGAGUUUGGGAUUUAAAAAAAUUAAAUUACGAAAAUUGGGAUUUUGGAAAUUAAAUUUUAAAAGAAAUUAGAAUUGAAAAUUAUUUGAGAAGUAGAAACUAUGAAAAUUGAAUUAUAAAAAUGAAAAUUAAGUUCGAAAAUUGGACAAUUGGAAUUUCAGAGAACUAAAUUUGGAAAUUGAAAUUUUGAAAAAUUAUUUUAAAACAAAAUUUUAAAUAAAUGAAUAAGUGAAUAAAUAAAUGAAUGAAAUAAUAAUAAUGACGAAAUAAUAAUGAUUGGAUACAUAAUUACGGAAGUUAGGAUUUCGGAAAUUGGAAAUUGAACUUAGGGAUUGAAAAUUUAAAGAAUUAUAAAUGAAUAAGUGAAUAAAUAAAUGAAUAGAAUAACGAAAAUAAUAAUGAUUGAGUAAAUAAUUAUGAAGAUGGGAAUUUUGGAAAUUGGAAAUUUGAAGAAUUAUUUAGAGAGGGAAUUUUAAAUAAAUGGAUAAGUGAAUAAGUAAAUGAAUUGAAUAACGAAAAUAAUAAAGAUCGGAUAAAUAAGUGCGAAAAGUAAAAUUUUAGAAAUUGGAAAUUAUUUAGAUAUUGAAAAUUUGAAGGAUUAUUUAGAGAUAAAAUUUUAAAUAAAUGAAUGGAAUAAUAAUAAUGACAAAAUAAUAAAGAUUAGGUAAAUAAUUGCGAAAAAUAGAAUUUUAAAGAUUGGAGAUUGAAUUUAGAGAUUGAAAAUUUGAGAAAUUAUUUAGAGAUGAGAUUUUAAAUAAAUGAAUAAGUGAAUAAAUAAAUGAAUGAAAUAAUAAUAAUGACAAAAUAAUAAAGAUUAGAUAAAUAAUUGUGAAAAAUAGAAUUUUAGAGAUUGAAGAUUGAAUUUAGAGAUUGAAAAUUUGAGAAAAUUAUUUAAAGAUGAGAUUUUAAAUAUAUGAAUAAGUGAAUAAAUAAAUUAAUGAGAUAAUAAUAAUAACGAAAAUAAUCAUUAAACAACUGAAUGUGAAUAGUUGAAUUUUUGAGAUUGGAAAUUAAAUUUGCAAACGGAAUUUUAAAAAAUUGAACUUUAAUGAUUGAAAUUUUUAAAAGAAAUAAAUAAAUAAAUAAAUGGAAUAAUAAUAAUAAUAAUAACGAAAAUAAUAUUUGAACGAAUGAACGUGAAUAGUGGAUUUUUGAGAUUAAAAAUUAAAUUUGAAAGACGAAAUUCUUUUUUUUUAUUUAUAAAAUAUGUUUAAAGAUUGGAAUUUUUAAAAUAAAUAAAUAAAUGAAAUAAUAAUAAUAAUAACAAAAAUAAUACGAUGAACGUGAAUAGUAAAAUUUUUGAUAUUGAAAAUUAAAUUUGAAAAACGGAAUUUUGAAGAAUUAUUUGAAAGUGAAAAAUGGAGGAUUAAGUCUAAGAAAAUGGCAUUUUGAAGAUUUAUUUGAGAAUGAAAUUUUUGAAGAUUUAAUUUAAAAGGAAAUAGAGUUGCGAAAAUUUAUUUGAAGAUAACAUUUUAAAAAAGAUUAAAUUCGAAAUUAUGGAAUUUUGUUGGAGAAUUAAAUUUAAAAAUUUGAAUCUUGGAGAAUUAGGCCUAAAAUUAGAACCUUAGAAAAUGGAAACUUGGAAAAUUGAAUUUAAAAAAAAAAAGAAGUUUAGUUAAAUUGAAUUUUUGGUAAUCAAAGUUUUAUAAACUAAAUUUAAAAUCAAAUUUCAGGAAAUUAUUUCGAUAAUGAUAUUUUGUAUAAUUAAAUUUAAAAAUGGAGUUUUGGAAAAAUUAACUUGGAUAUCAAAACACGAAGAAAUAACAAAAAUAAAUAGGUAAAUAAAUAAAGGUAUGGUGAUUUAGGCCAAAAGUGGCCAUGCAAAAUGGGGCCCGGGGUUGCUAUCAGGAUUGCAACCGAAGGUUGAGAACAAUCAGGUGUUGUUUUGUUCAGGGUACUUGAAAUAGCAGAAAAAUUCAUAAGGCAUUUCCCUGUCAAGAUUGGCUCAUAUGUAGCCGGAAAGGAUGGGUACAUUGGUGAAAAAGGUUCUGUAGGAGAUGAAAGAUGUGGAAGAACAUCAGGUGAUAUUUCUAAGGGUUCAAAGAGAUCAGUAUUAUGUGGUUUUGCCAAAUCAGUCGUGGAAGAUACAUGAUUAUACUUAACAAGUGUCAGCUGUUCCACUACAUCUUAGAAUCUGGAUAACCAGAUGGUGAAUAAAAAAAAAACUGAUUGCAUAAAGAACCCUUAUGACGAGUAAUGGUCUGUAGACAACAACAUACCAAAAUAAAGGCCUAUUUCCCUCAGCUGUAUAUCCAAAAACAGCUCACAACAACAUACCAAAACUUGAAGAUGGGGAGCCCGGAAACCAUUUUUCGAGGCGAGAUCAUGCUGUGGGGGUAAUGGACGAUGAACCUGGGGGUGAGAGGAGCUGUGGUGUUUUGUGAUGAAGAUGUUUCCCGUCAGAACAACGGCGGUGAAAAGGCUCAAACUCCGGCCAUUGCUCUUCGUCUCCGUGAAAAACUCACGGCUGCCAACAAAACAUUGGAUCGAUCCGCAAGCCAAAAUGAUCCAAUUCGAGGAGCUUUGUUAUCAGAGGAAGCGUAUGGAAAUUGGGCCAGAAAUGGCAGAAGAGGAGGUCACAAUCAAAACCAUUGAAGAAAACUCUCAAGCUUUCUCUCUCUACAAACUGAAAAUUCCCCUGCUAAUCUUCUUCUUCCUCUUUUCUCUCCGUUUCUCUAAUUUCUCACUCUUCCAAAAUAUCUCCCGCCCUCAAGCUCUCAAAAAUUCCCCAGAACCCCACUCCAUCUCUGGAAAACUCACCCCAAAAGAACCCCAUUUCUCCCGAUUUUUUUUUUCUUCUCUCUCCCCUCAAAAAUCUUCUUCCCGCUCAGUUUUUCUUCUCCCACAAGUCUGCACCUGCUUCCUGCUACCACCAUGCCGUCUUUGCCACAUGUCCCAUGCGGGUUCACCUGGAAGUUGUCCCCUACUUUCGAAUGACUCUUUUCGGAUUUGAGAAAAAAAUAUUGGUCCAAGAGGGGUCCACAAAAAUAAAAAUAAUUAAAGAUUUAUGUUAUUUGGUAUAAUUGCCUAUGCCUAUUAGAUAGGAGGAUCGAAUUUAUUAAUGGUCAUGAAAAGGAAUUAAGACUUAUGAAUAACCAACAUUAUUUUUUCUCCAUAUUUUUUUUUCUUUUUCUUUUAUGAAAAAGAAUUUUAAAACUCUUUACUAUUUCUCAACUAAGCAAAAAACUCACCACUAUUAACUAUGAAAUAGUGUUAAGUGAGGAUAUGAUAAGGUCAAAGAAUGAUAAAUAAUGAAUCUCAUGUAUUUAAAUUAUGCUGAUUUUAAUAUUAUUGGUUAGUUCUAAAUCAACCUUGAACUUGAUUAUUAGAAUAACAAUAAAACUAUAUUUAAAUGAUAUCUAAAAUGUUUUGAAAACAAUUUAAAUUUUAUAAAUUAAGUACUUAUAGACAUGUGAGAAUGCAAAUAUCUAAUUUUCAAUAUAUCCAUGAUUAAAAUAAUUAUAUUUUUAUAAAUAUUAUUAUUUAGAAAUAAUAUGUAAGUCAAUUAAUUGAUAAUAUUAUUAUUUAUAAAUAAUAUAUCGACAAUAAUUAAUAAUUAAUAUUUAUAUAUUGAAUCUAGUACAUAAAAUUAAAUAAUUUUAUAAUACAGAUAUUUUAAAUAAUUUUAUUGUUAUAAAAAUAUAGUUUCAAACCAUAUUAGCAUUACUACAUUUUUUUUAGAAUUAUUAUUAUUUUUUUUGAAAAAAUCAUAUUUUCAAAAAUAUAUAUAUUAUAGGUUUAAAAUAUGAUUAAAAUAAUUAUAUUUUUAUAAAUAUUAUUAUUUAGAAAUAAUGUGUAAGUCAAUUAAUUGAUAAUAUUAUUAUUUAUAAAUAAUAUAUCCACAAUAAUUAAUAAUUAUUAUUUAUAUAUUGAAUCUAGUACAUAAAAUUAAAUAAUUUUAUAAUACAAAUAUUUUAAAUAAUUUUAUUGUUAUAAAAAUAUAGUCUCAAACCAUAUUAGCAUUACUACAUUUUUUUUAGAAUUAUUAUUAUUUUUUUUGAAAAAAUCAUAUUUUCAAAAAUAUAUAUAUUAUAAGUUUAAAAUAUGAUUAAAAAUAAGAAACGUCUUUGUAAGAAAUUAUUUCAAUAUAAUUGUAUUUUUUUAUCUUUUAGAGAAAACUAUGAUUUUUGUUUUAAGAUUUUUUUAUUUAUUUAAGAAAUCAUAUUUUAAAGAAACAAUUUUAUUUAAAAAAUAGAGAUACAAACAAAAUAAAUAAAUUCGGAAAAAAAAACUUAGAAGUGAUAUUUUAUCAAAAAAAAAAAAAAAAAAAAUGUACAUCAUUCUCCAAGUAUCUAAAAUAUAACCCAAGUGUCAAAUCAAUUCAAUUCACCACCAAUUAUUCCAUAUUAAAUUAAAUUCAUCGUCACUUUUCCAAACAUUCACCAAUAUAGCACAGUGGGUCAACGGAUAAAAUAAAUCUGAAAAAAAAAACUUAAAUAUAGAAUUUUAUCAUGAAAAAAAUUGAAUAACAUAUAUUAUAUGUUUAGAUUACAACCCAAAAGACCUGAUCAUCAAACUAUGCCCCAAUUAAUACCAGAAUAAAUCAUAAGCAAGUCGGUCAGAAACAGAGCAUAUUUCAUCAAUAACACAUAAAAAAAAAAAAAAUUAACCUAUUUAAAAGCCUGAUAAAAUUCACACAAUUAAUUCAACAUGUCUACUUUAUAAUCACAUAAGAAUGAUUUUUAAAAUAAGACAAAUAGACCCUGAUUGCAGGAUAGGUAAGUAAGUGGAAAAAUAAUUUUUUUCUCCUACUUGGGGAAUCAAUUUUUAACAAAUGAAGAAUAUGAAGUAAUUAAGAAGCUUAGAUUAAAUAAAAAAAAAAAGAAAAGAAAAGGAAAGAAAAGAAAAAGAAAUAACUUAGUUUUUCAUAAUCAACUUGAGUGUCCAAAACAAGGUCAGAUUGGGAAAUGUGUAAAAACUAACUUAAUUCUCCUAAUUGAAAAAGGAUUUUAAGCCCAAACAAAAUUUAAUUAACAAGUUUUAAGAAGUGAAAAUAUAUUUCAAAUAUAAAUUUUUUUUUAGAAAAACCCUAAAACAUUUGUUUUUAAUGGUUAGAAAUACAUCAAACAGUGAUAUUAGACUUUUGAGAAUUUAAAGUAUGUAGGGCUCACCAAAUCCCUAUUUACUAUACACUAGUUUAAUUUAUGUAUCCUCAACCUCAUAUGAACAUUAUAGUAAGUUCAUCAAGCUUAAAUUUGAAGUAUGUAGGGCUCACCAAAUCCCUAUUUACCAUACACUAGUUUAAUUUAUGUAUCCUCAACCUCAUAUGAACAUUAGUAAGUUCAUCAAGCUUAAGGAUGAUUCCAUUUUUAUCCAGAACCAUGAACUUUGAUUUGUGUUUCGAAGAAAAAGAAAGUAAUUUUUUAAAAAAUAAUGAAAAGAUGCAUACAAUUAAAAAUUGGUUGCAUUUCCUUUUACAUAAAAAAAAUUUAAACCCUAGUGACCCAAGAUAACAUUUUUAAGAAAAGUUUAAAAAUUAAUUUUUUAAGAAAAGGAUAUGAAAAAGUAAUAUUUUUGCCAAUAAAACACACAAAAUAUUAACUGUAACCACUCCAAAAAAGUGUAGGAUGACAUACAAUUUAAUUAAUAUCUAUAAUCAUUACCAAUAAACAACCACAAAAGGACCCAAUGGAAGACCAAAAUGAGUAACCUAACCCUCCUAUCUUAUAUAAUCAGGGCCUAAAUUGAGUGAGAAUAUGCCCAUAAAUAACAAACCUAACCCUAACCCUAACAGACACCAAUGAAUAGAUAAAAUAUAUCAACUUUAUACAUAACCAUAAUUAAUAAAUGAUAUCAAAACAUGUUAUUAUAAAAAAAUGUUUAAAUUGAUAAUCAAUUAACGAUUCUUUUUUUAGAUAUACAAAUUAAACAUGGAGCAUCAAAACAAUGGAUUAAAGAUUUUUAAAAAAUAAAUUAAUAUGUGAUCAUCAAAACAAACGACUAAUAACUUUAUACAUUGGAUAAUGGGCCGAUGUCCAUGACUUUCAUCCAACCCAAAUCAUAAAAAAGGGUAGAUACUAUUCAUGACAUAGCAUUUAAAGGAUUUUAUUUUUUUUUCGAAAGAAGGAUCAAAUAAGUUUUCGUGAAAUAGGAUACUCUAGUGAAAGGAAUGAAAAAAAAAAAAAGAAGACAAAUCUUGUCAAGACAAUGAGAAGUAUACAUCAACGAAAAAAAUAAAUAAAUUUAACACCCAACUUAAAAAUUUGUAUAGUUUUGGGAAGUAUCAUGCCAAGUUAAAAUAACCUAAUUAAAAAAAAUUGUAGAUAGAGAGUGCUAAUUUCGUCGAUCUUUAUAAAUCUGAUAACAUGAGCAGGCAUCUUGACUUGCACCCAUUAACAAAUAAAUGUUCUACUAAUAUUGGCUCUGUCAUAAGCAACCUAAGAGUUAAAAUAAAGAAAAAAAGAACAAUGGUGUUAUUCACCUAAUUUCAAAUAUAAUAAUGAUAUCCACUUUCGACUUCUAUCGAAAUAGAAAUUAGAUAUAAUUAUUAGGUUAGAAACAUCUCAUAUAUAUUAAUUCAAACUUUCAUUUACACCUUGAAUAAAGAAAUCCUUCAUUCUAUCUAAUGUCUUUGAUACAUCCUUACAUUUCUUUCUACCUCAUAUUGUAUUUAUGAGAUCAUUAUCUUCAUUUCAUAUCUUUUUCUGUUGAUAACUUAAAAUAUCGAACUUACCAUACAACUAAAAUAAUAAAAAACUCAAUCAAUGAGUGAUCAUCAAAACAAACAACUAAUAACUUUAUACAUUUGGUAAUGGGCCGAUGUCCAUGACUUUCAUCCAACCCAAAUAAAAAAAAGGGUAGAUACCAUUCAUGACAUAGCAUUUAAAGGAUUUUUUUUUUUCAAAAGAAGGAUCGAAUAAGAUUUCGUGAAAUAGGGUAUUCCAGUGUAAGGAAUGGAAAAAAGGAAGACAAAUCUUGUCAAGACAAUGAGAAGUAUACAUCAAUGGAAAAAAAAAAUUAACACCCAACUUAAAAAUUUGUAUAGUUUUGGCUGUAUCAUGCCAAGUUAAAAUAACCUAAUUAAAAAAAUUGUAGACAGAGAGUGUUGAUUUCGUCGGUCUUUAUAAAUCUAAUAGCAUGAGUUGACAUCUUGACCUACACCCAUUUACAAAUAAAUGUUAUACUAAUAUUGACUCUAUCAUUAGCAACCUAAUAGUUAAAAUAAAGAAAAAAAGAAUAGUGGUGUCAUCCACCUAAUUUCAAAUAUGAUAAUGAUAUCCACUUUUAUUUUCUACUGAGAUAGAAAUUAGAUAUAAUUAUUAGAUUAGAAACAUCUCAUAUAUAUUAAUUCCAACUUUCAUCUACACCUUAAUAAAGAAAUCCUUCAUUCUAUCGAAUGUGUUCGAUUCAUCUUUACAUUUCUUUCUACCUCGUAUUAUAUUUAUGAGAUCAUUAUCUUCAUCUCAUAUCUUUUUCCACUUAUAACUUAAAAUAUCAAACCUACCAUACAACUAAAAUAAUAAAAAAAACCCCAUCAAUGAGGUCUCAUUUCACAAAAAUUGGAAUGGCAGAUGUAUUCUAUUAUUGGUGGGCCUCAGAGGAAUUUUAACAUUUCAGCAUUGGGCCUCCUUUGCAGCCAAGUCGUCAUGCUAUCAUUUAAGAAACCUCUUGCCGCAGUCUGCGUUAUGGAAGAGGAGCUGAACUCCACUGCCUACACUGCCAUUGAUAACCCAGUUGGUGUGAGAUUCUUCACAAAAGAUGGGCAAGAUCUAGAAGAUAAUAGUACUGCUCAUUGAGAUUUACCCAAAAAGAAAAAAGAAAAAGAAAUGAAGAUAAAAAAGGGAAAAUUGGGAUUCUUCAUUUUUAUAAUUGGUACAAAUUAAUAAAAUAUAAUUUCAUGGAUCACGAAGCGAAACAAAACCACAUAUACUUUUUUGCAUGUUGACAAUGUCAUGACCCAAAUUCCGGGCGACCCAAAAUUUGGCCAGUGAUCCUAGGUCAAAGGUUUGACCCCAAGGGUUUCUCUUAUUCCACGUUGGCAGUCAACUAAAACACUCUAAUUUUUUUUUUUUUUUUCAUAUAAGUCCCACUAGGGUUCUCACCAACUAACAAUAUUUUAAACCUUACUUAAACACAUCAAGAUUUAAUAAACAUCAUUGCAUCCCAAAAUAAAAUUUCAUAAAAAUCCCCUUAAUCAAACUAAGGUCUUAUUACAUUAUCCAUAAUUCACUUAUUACAAGGUCUCAAUACCACAACACAAUAAAAAAAAAAAACCUUUUCCACUAAACCGCUUCAGGGGCAUCCUGAAGUCCUCCCUGUCCCAUCUGUGGAUCCUUAGGAGUGAUAUCUGCAUCUAAAAAUAUAUAAAAAGAAAGGAGUGAGCAUUUCCACAUUGCUCAGUAGGGUGCCUAACACCCAAAUGGUUAAUGGAGGAUUACUAUAUUUUAAGAACCCAAAUGCAACAAUUCACCAAUAUAAAUCAAGUCACACAAUUUAACAUACAACACUAUACUUAAUUCCACAACAUCCACUCAUUAAAUGAAUACAUAUAAACGUGUGACACACAAUCAUACAAUGCACUAUCGUUCUCGGGCUUUCACCGAAAGAUACGCGUCCGCACCCAAAUAUACUCCCCAUUUGGAGUCUUCCCGGGGUAAACUUUUGGGUCUUUCACCCUAGGGAUCUCUCUCCCUUCUUAGUUCGUCUCACACGGGCUUUCACUUUUCAUCACUAUUUUAUUUUUUUCCAUUUCAUACACUUUUCACAAUUUUUUUUUUUCAUUUCUUCAUACAACCAUGAUGCAAAUGAAUGCCACAAAUUCCAAAAUUCCUUAAUAAUUUCUACAAUUCCAAUAAUUUCAACAUUCUCAAUAACCCAAUAAAAUAAAAUUUUCACAUUAAAAUUCCCGAAAAUAUACCAAAAAAUUUUCGAAAAUUCAAACAUCAAUAUACUUGAAUUUAUAUCACAAUUUCAGAAUUUUUCAAAAACUCUAAUAAUUCCCAAUAUUUGAAAAUAACUAAUUUUUCACAAUAAAAUUACCGCAAAUAUUCCAAUCAAUUUUCAAAAAUUCAUAAGUCACUAGAUUUAAAAUCUUGCCCUAAUUCCGGAAUUUUCCUACAUUUCUAGCAAUUUUUAACAACCUAAAAUAAUUAUUUAUUAAUUACAAAGAAUUCCGGAAAUUACAAAAAAAUCCAAAAAAAAUCCCAAAUCAUUCCAAAAAAUUCACACAACAUCAAAAUUACCUAAUUAACUCAUAAUUAUCAGAUUUAUAAUUUUUUUCCAAUGAAAAAUACAUUAAAUUUAAGUUUUAGGGUUAGUUUUCCCCUACCUCAUAUAUGAAAAUUUGGCCGUUAAAAACGAAAUCAGCCAUCGUAGACUUGUUCCUCUAGUCGAAUAGAGCACCUCCACCGAAUUUGGGCCGAAACAGAGGUUGUUUGCCCAUCCAAACGGCCGGUCAAAGAUCCGGCGAGUGACCAAAUUUUCUGCAGUAGCCCCCCUCUCUCUCUCUCUCUCCCCGCGUGCUGCCCAUUUUCCAAUUCUCCCCUUUUUCCUUUUUUUUUUUUAACAACAAAGACUUCCUACCACCAGCCCAUAUCUAAGCCUAAUCCAUGACAUCACCCACUUAAGCCCAACUCCAUUAUUAUUAUUAUUUUUUUUCUUUUACAACCCAUUACCUUAAACGGCCAAUAUUUAAAGCCCAAUGAAUAUUUUUAUUUUAUUUAUUUUAUUUUAUUUUCUUUUCUUUAUUCUAAUUGUUUUAUUUGAUUUCCAAUUCAUUUUUUUUUAAUUUUCCGGAAAAUUUCAAUUUCUAAAAUCCUAAGAAAUUUUCUACCCUAAGGCUGACAUGGCAUAAAAUUUCAACUCGUUUAAUUGACCGACACAAUAAAACGAAAUUCACCAAUCCGAAAUUGACACGUGUUCUCCAAAUACUUUUCUUUUUGACUUUUCAAUCAUAACACAAAAUAAGACUUUUUAAACUAAAAAUGUUAACGUGUCAUAAAAUACCCGGACAAUCUAGAACACCUAAGCAAAGAUAUAUCAUAAACAAAUUUUGGCUUUAUCAGGACUCUUAACAGCCUUCAGAUCUGAACCCAUCUUUCUCUUAUGUUUGUCAUCAACACAACCAUGGAAAUUACAUGGCUAAGCACAUCUCUAUGUCUUCUCUUUCUCUUGUUUGCUUUCAAUAUCUUCCUCCAAAGAAGAAGAAUACAUCCCCACCUCCCACCAAGCCCGCCUGCUAUUCCGAUUCUUGGUCACCUCCAUCUCCUCCUUAAACCACCAAUUCAUCGGCAAUUACAGAAUCUUUCUAAAAAAUAUGGUCCUAUCUUCUCCCUUCGCUUCGGAUCCAGUCCUGUUGUUAUCAUAUCCUCUCCGUCCACUGUUGAAGAAUGUUUCACCAAGAACGACAUCAUUUUUGCCAACCGGCCUCGCUUGCUGAUCGGCAAGUACAUAGGCUACAACUACACCACUAUUGCUUCAGCAUCAUAUGACGAACACUGGCGCAAUCUCCACCGCCUCAGCGCACUGGAAAUCUUCUCCUCAAAUCGCCUCAACAUGUUUCUAGGGAUUCGCAGGGAUGAAAUCAAGAUUUUACUACACCGAUUGUCUCAGAAGUCAAGGGACAAUUUUGCAAGGGUAGAGUUGAGACCGAUGUUUACAGAGCUAACAUGUUAUAUUCUAAUGAGAAUGGUUGCAGGAAAGAGGUACUAUGGGGAAGCUGUGGAUAGUGAGGAAGGCAAGCAUUUUCAGAAAAUAAUGAGAGGGAUUUUUGAACUGGCUGGGGCGUCAAAUCCAGGAGAUUUUUUGCCUUUACUACGGUGGGUUGAUUUUGGGGGUUAUGAGAAAAGUUGGUGAAGCUCAAUAGAGAGAAAGACGUGAUCUUCCAAGGUCUUAUUAAGGAGCAUAGAAGUCCUGACCAGGGUCUAGUGAAUAAAAACAGCAUGAUCGAUCAUCUGCUUUCACUGCAAAAAUCAGAGCCAGAAUAUUACACAGACGAAAUCAUAAAAGGGCUUGCACUGGUGAGUGAACUUCUGCGUUUUUGUCUUUCAGAAACAGGUCGCCAAAAAGAAUAAUUCUAUUUAAGCCUUGGCUUGCUGGUUCGCUUCUUAGAAAAGACACUGACCAUAAAUGAUUCAUUUGCCAUUAAGUCUGCAGGAGAUCAAGCGCUGCAUAUUCUUUUAGCGCUGCAUAUUCAGUUUUAUUUUCAUUGAUAACAAAAUUUUGCAGGUGUGAGGAAAUAAAGAGUGAAAAAGCAACAAGAAAUGAUGUCCUACUUUUCGUUUUCAAUAUUUCUCAAAUCUAUAAAUAUUGCAUUGCGCAGAUCUUAAUUUUUGCUGGUACUGACACUACUGCGACGACAAUAGAAUGGGCUAUGUCUCUUCUACUCAAUCAUCCUGAUGUUUUGAAGAAAGCUAGAGCAGAAUUGGACACUCAUGUUGGAAAAGAUCGUUUGACGGAAGAAUCAGAUUUCCCCAAAUUACAAUAUCUUCGAAGUAUCAUUUCUGAAACCUUAAGAUUGUUUCCGGCAACCCCACUUUUGAUGCCACAUAUUUCUUCAGACAAUUGCCAAAUAGGAGGAUUUGAUAUACCAAGAGGCACAAUAUUAUUGGUCAAUGCUUGGGCCAUUCACAGAGACCCUAAGUCGUGGAAAGAUCCUACAAGUUUCAAGCCAGAGAGGUUCGAAAAUGAGGAAGGUGAGGCAUACAAGCUAUUGCCAUUUGGCUUAGGAAGAAGGGCUUGCCCCGGUGCUGGCCUGGCUAAUCGAGUGAUAGGUUUGACUUUGGGGUUAUUGAUUCAGUGUUAUGAGUUGGAGAGAGCUAGCGAGAAGGAGGUUGACAUGGCUGAAGGGAAAGGAGUCACCAUGCCCAAAUUGGAGCCAUUGGAAGCCAUGUGUAAAGCUCGUGCUAUUAUCAGAAAGGUAUUAUAAAACAAUGAAGCGACAUCUGGUUGAUGUUAGCAUUAUUAAUUGUCAUAUAUUUGUGUCAUACAUUUUAUCAGUGUGCUCAUCAUAUAUAUUUGUUAUGUUAUUUUAGCUAGCCUAGUCUAAAAAUAAAAGAUUAUGAUUAUGUAAACUUUUUUUUGUUAUUUUUUUCUUAUCUAAAUGAGCAAUUUUGUUAUAUAGUUUUCAUGCCAAAAAUAUUAAACAUUCAUCAUAUACAAUAACCUAAAUUGAAUAAUUAUAGAUAUUGCAUCAAUUAGUCCCAUUACCAACUAUUUUUAAAAAAUAUGUUAAAGCUUGCAGUCCUUGCUUCUCGAAAGGCAGUUAAAUUGCCUACAAUUAUGCCAUGUUAUGCAUCCUUAGCACAUUAUGGUGACCCAAUAGGGCAAUCUCCCCCACCUUGGCUUUCUUGGAAUAUUCCCUUCAAAUUGUCUUAACAUGCUUUUGGGUUUCAACAUGCAAUGGCUUUUUCCCAAAGAGCUUUUGGAAGUGUCUUGACCUUCAACAUGCUUCUUGUCAUCUCUACUAGGGUUAUGUUCUUCCUUUUGUUUAUACCGUUUCAUUGAGGUGUAUAGUUAAUUGUUAAUUAUUGUCAAAUGCCCUGACUUUUAUAAUAAUUAUAAAAUUCAUUGAUGGUAAAUCCUCCUAUAAUUAUCAGAUUCUAAUAUCUUAAUAUUGCAACUAUUCUGUCUUUCAACAAGAAUUUUGAAAUCUUUAAGCUUGCUAAAAACCUUAUAUUUUUCUUUUAACAAAUAAAUCCAAGUUUUUUCUUAUAAAAUCAUCUGUAAAGGUCAAUAUAUAUUUGUUAUAAUUAAGAGAUUUUAUCUCAUCAAAUCAUAUACACACGCACCAAAUCUAAAGGUUUAACUCUUUUGGAUAUUCUAAUUGAAAAAUGAUUCCUAUGUUGUUUCCUAAGUAGACAUUCUUCACAAACAUGAUAUGGAUCAUCAAUUAGUGAUAAUCCUAUCACCAUAUUCAUAUGCACCAAGAGCUUCAACCCAUGAAAAUUGAGAUGACAAAAGGGAAGAUGUCAAAGCCAAUUGCAAUCUUCUACAAUUGCCUUCAAAUAAAAUGAAGUUUUGGUUGAAAAAACAUAGGAAAUAUCAUAUUUUUUUGUCAUCUACACAUUUGAAAUCAUCUUCUUAUUUUUAUCAUUAAGAGUACAAACUCUACUAAAAAUACUAAUGAUAUGUUUUUUUUUGUUAAUUGUCCCAUGCUAAACAAAUUAAAAAAAAAUCUAAUACAAAAAAUAGAUCUACUAUGGUAACAUUAGUGACAUAUUUAAAUGUAUUUUAAUAUUAUCUUUGCCCAUGAUUGAGACUUUAAAUUUACUUCCAAAAUUAACUUUUCAUUUAACUGAUUCAUCAAAUUGCAAAAACAAUUUUUUCUUAUCACACGUGUGAUUGUUCCGUUUUGUAUCAAAGAACCAAACAUCUUUAUGGUUUAUGUUAGAUGUUGUUACAUUAUAGACCAAUAUCAAAUUCUACUCAACCUCAAUGGUGUUUGUCGACUCUAUUUGUUCAUUCUAUAAUUUCAUUCGACAUUUUGAAUUGUAGUGUCCAUACCACUUACAUCUAAAACAUUAUAAGUGUGACUUGUCUUUAGAUCCAAGAAUGUUGACCAUUCCUCUAGAAUAAUUUUUAUUAUAUCCCCAUCUCUAUGAUUGGAGUUGUUGUGUCCUCCUCUACAUCCAUAACCUUGACCUUUGCUACUUUAUUGAUCAUCGUGACCUCUUGUAGACGUUUUACUUUUCAAGACCUACUCCAAACUAGUAGAGUCAAUUAUUUUAUUCAUCCAUUAUUCACGUGAAUACUUACGCUCAUCAACCCUUCAAUUGUGAAAGUGAAGAUAUUUCUUCUUUCUUCAUUUAAUUACAACAACAUAUUCAAAUUUUGCAUGUAAAGAUCGUAUGUAUGACUUUCUCUUAUAUUUUUUUUAAUCAUCAAGCCUUUCACCAUUAACCCACAUCUAGUUUAUAAGUACCCAAUCAAAAUAAUGUGAGAUCAAUUUAGAGUCAUUAAUCAUACGGAGAGACUUGAAUUCACAUCUUAAUGUUCGUAGCGCCAUUCACUUGACAUGAUCAUUACAUUAAUUUAUAUAAUUUGUGUAGAUUAAUUUAUACCUUUAUUUAUUUUUAUGCUUCUACUUUUGAAAUUUUCUCAAGUAUGGAUUCAUUUUCUGCUUAGAAUAUUGCAUAGAGUGCUUAUAUAUAUAUAUAAGAAUAUUUCAAUAAGUCUUUUUACUCCUUUGAUAGUGUCUCAAAUUCUUUUGAAUCAACCACUUUGUUAUAGUCAUGAUCUAUUAAACGCUAUAAAUCUUAAGAUCUAAAUAAGACAUACAUUUAAUCCACUAGUUACUAAAAUUCUUACUUGUGAAUUUUAAGAGUUGAGGUUGAAUUAAUUUGUAAUUAUUUACCGUCAUAAUAUCGCUGACCAAAUUGUAACUUUCUUGUUAUCUAUUUUGCAUAUUCUUAGGUAUUAUGGUACUUAUCUUCUCGUUUUUCACCCUCCGUAAUCUUUUGGCUUUGAUAUGAACAAUACUCUUAUUCUUAUACCACUUGUUGGUAGCUCUACUCUUCUAGCUUUUCACCUUUCUUGAUCUUUUAUUGUUUUUACAUUUUUUUCAACAUAAUAAACUAAUCAUAUUUACACUAUACUUCCAAUUUAUAAUUAAAAGAAAAAGGUUUGAGAGUUGAAUAGCUAUGUAUCCAUGUAAACUUUGUUUCAACGUAAUUAAUAAAUAAGAGUUAAUAUGAUUCAAACUAUCAUUAUAACUCAAAGUGAAAAGAAAAGAAAAAAUAGCUUCAAGCCAAGAUAAUAAGAUAAUGAAAUUGAGAUAAAUACCAAUAUUUAUUAUAAAUGAAAAAAUAAUGAUCUAAGAAAGUCUCUUGCAUCCAUAAUAAUUACAAAAAAAAAAAAAGGUUAGGGACACUAAAUAGCUUUGUAUCCACAUAGCUUCUUAUAGGACAAAAUUAAUUAAUAAAUAAGGAGAUAGAGUGUAUUUGAUAAUGAUUUUAGAAAAUAUUUUUUAGUCUUUUUCAUACUUGAAAUAUUUAUUUUUCAAGAAUUAGAAAUGGUAAAAAUAUUUUUCAAAAUUACGUACUAUCAAACACAGUGUUAAUUUCAUUCAAAUUAUCACUAUAAACAUGAUUAGUAUUACAUAUGUACUUAGAAAACCUCCUAUCUGUCCAUAGAAAUGUUAGUUUCACUUUCAACUUCCUCACAACAAAGUUACAUGAUCAUCAGACUUGGCUAAGUAUUGGUAAAAGAAAAAUGUACAUUCAAAAAAUAAAAAAUUAAACCCAACUUUUAAUUUUGUAUGGUUUUGGCAGUAUCAUGCCAAGUCAAAAUAAACGGAUAAAAAUUGUAAUAUUUAUGCCAAAAAAAUAACAAGCAUUGUUGAUUUGGUCAUUUUUGUUAGCUCUUCAUUCAUCAACCUUUAAUUCAACAAUAUAUGUUUUAGUCUAGAAAAAAAUGCCAAUAAUUAUAAUAGAAUAUUAUAAUUCUACAUCGUACAUGUUCACAAGUGGAAUUCAAUUUAACUUUAAUCUUGCAUACUCUUAUAGGUAAUUAUGUAAAAAUGUUAUGGUAUCUUAUUUCUUAGUCUAUGUUUGGUUUCCAUAAAUAAUGAGGAAAAAAAAUGUUAAAGUUGGUUUUAAUAUAAAAAGAUACAAAAUAAAAUCAAAUAUAAUGAAAAUUAACUACAAAUUUAUAUAUUUUAAAAUUAUUUAAUUUGUAUAUAUUAAAAAAAAUAAAUGAAAUGAGUUUGAAGAACCAUAUGAAAAUAAUUUAUUAAUUUCAAAUUUUCUUUUUCUCAAAUUUUCUUUCAUUCCAUUUUCCUUCCUAUUUUCUUUCUUUCACAUUUUUCCUUAAAUUUCCCGAGAACCAAACAUAGUCUUAUAUAAAUUAAGGACUGUUUGGUAAUUGUUUUCGAAAAUAAUUUUCUAUUCUAAAAAUUAAAACCAAGAAAACAUGUUUAGCAAUUAGAAACUGUUUACUGUUCUUAAAAACAGAAAACAAGGUAUUUUAAGAUAACAAUUUUUAGUUGUUUUAUGUUAUUUUCACUUGUUUUCUAAGGGUUAUUUUAAAAAAGAAUUAUACAAUUAUGUAAAAUGAUUAAAAAUAAAACAUUGGAUAAACAUAUUAAAAAUAAGUUAAAAACAUUUCAGGUUUCUAAACGUACUUUUGUUUUACACAAUAUUAGAUGACAGUUUUUAAAAAUUAUUUUCAAAAAUUGUUUUUUAUAACUAUUUUAGAAAAUAAUUGCCAAACACGACUGAGUAAUCUUAUGGAUAAUUGACCAAAAUAACAGAUAAACUAAAUAGGAUGAGGGAAUAAAUAGUAUCAUGACCUCGUAAAUCUGAUAGCAUGAGCUAUCAAUUGACUUGAGAACUUAAAUUGUGUAGGAAUGGGGCCAUAAUUUAUACCUCUAUAACAACCACUAGCCUGCAAACUUAUUUUCGUGUCUGUUUUCUACCUAAUAAUUAAUAGAUGAAGAAGGAAACACAAAUCAAUGGAGAAGGAUGCUUAAUCCAACUUGAUCAGCAUCCAUUAACAAAUAAUUUUCUACUAACAUUGGCUGUGUCAUCAGCAACCUAAAAGUUAAAAUAAAGGAAUAAAACAAUGAUAUUUGGGUCAUUAAUUGACCUAUUUUCCGAUAUAAUAUAAUGAUGAUCUUCUCCCUCCGCUUCGGAUCUCGUCUUCUUGUUAUCAUAUCCUCUCCAUGCACGGUUGAAGAAUGUUUCACUAAGAACGACAUCAUUUUUGCCAACCGGCCCAUCUUUUUGUUUGGCAAGUACAUAGGCUACAACAACACCAUCGUUACUUCAGCACCGUAUGGCGAACACUGGCGCAAUCUCCGCCGCCUAAGCGCACUGGAAAUCUUCUCUCCAAAUCGCCUCAACAUGUUUAUAGGCACCCGCAGGGAUGAAAUCAAGAUUUUACUACACCGAUUGUCUCAGAAUUCACGGGAUAAUUUUGCAAGGGUAGAGUUGAGACUAAUGUUUACAGAGCUAACAUGUAAUAUUAUAAUGAGAAUGGUUGCAGGAAAGCGGUACUAUGGGGAAGAUGUGGAUUUUGAGGAAGCCAAGCACUUUCAUGAAGUAAUGAGAGGGGUUUUUGAAUUGGCUGGGUAUCCAAUCCAGGAGAGUUUUUUCCUUUACUACGGUGGGUUGACUUUGGGGGUUAGGAGAAGAAGUUGGUGAAGAUCAAAACAAAGAAAGAGGUGAUCUUCCGAGGUCUUAUUGAUGAGCAUCGAAGUCCUAGCCGGGCCCUUGUGAAUAAAAACAGUAUGAUCAAUCAUCUGCUUUCAAUGCAAAAAUCAGAACCAGAAUAUUACACAGAUGAAAUCAUAAAAGGGCAUUCAUUGGUAACUUCAGUAUUGCAGGCAAACUGAUUCUCUUUAAGAUAUACCACUUUUGCCAAAAGAAUAAUGCUAUUCAAACCUAAAUUGGCCAGUUUGCUUCUUAGAAAAAACACUGAUCAGCAUAAAUGGUUCUAUUUUUGUUAAAAAAAAUUAGGUCAUAUGCGCGCCAUUAAGCGUGCAGGAGAGGCAAGCCAACAAAAGUUGGGAAAUCAAGCAAUUUUUUUUCUACGAGUCAAAGGAAUGGCCCCCUGGCCUCUGAUUUCCAUAUAAAGGACAAAGACAUAAAUAUCCUCUUUAACUGCUAUUAUGAUGGACUGAAUAUCUUUCAUAAGUAAUCGGAGGAAGAUCCGACGAUUUUUUCCAGAAAAUCCCCAACGAAAAAUACACACUAUUCCUUCUUUUCUAUCGAAUCGAUCAUAACCACUACCUACAUUCCACGAAAUUGUGCACCACAAAUAGGAGCUAAUAAAGAGACCGACAAUCCCGUAGAAAGACAUCACGAUCCCUUGUGGAAAAAAAAUUAUUUGCUGAGACGGAAAUAAAGAUAUCAAAUUCCUACCAAAAUAACUGGAAGUUCCAACCAAUAAGAACCCUAAUGAACCUAAAAAAAGGAUAAAGGCCCAACAAAAAUUACUUAUUUUUCGAGACCUCGUUAUAAGUUCUAUCCACUCUACUAGGUGUUCUGCCAGUGGCUUCUGGGGGUAUUCACGUUUGGCAUAUGCCUGCUCUGACCGAGAUCUUUGGAGAUGAUUCCAUACUACAGUUCGGUGGAGGAACUUUAGGACACCCUUGGGGAAAUGCACCGGGUGCCGUAGCUAAUCAAGUAGCUCUUGAAGCAUGUGUACAAGCUCGUAAUGAGGGACGUGAUCUUGCUCAUGAGGGUAAUGAAAUUAUCCAUGCAGCUAGCAAAUGGAGUCCUGAACUAGCUGCUGCUUGUGAAGUAAUUAAGGAAGGAAAUCUAAUUUGAAUUCCCAGCAAUGGAUACUUUGUAAUCCAGUAAUUAUUGUUCGUUUCCUAAAUUGAAUUGCAAUUAAACUCGGCCCAAUCUUUUACUAAAAAAAAAGGAUUGACCCGAAUACAAAAAGACUAUUGUAUGUAUAUAUUUUGGAUAGAUACAUACUUAUCUAGAUAUACAAUACAAAAUCUAAGACUAAACAACUCAAAUUUUCUAUUGUUGUGUUAGAUCCACAAUUAAUCCUAUGGAUCCUUAGGAUUGGCGUAUUCUUUUAUAUCUUGUAGUUUCUGUUUGAAAUGGAAAUCUAUAUGUAUGUAGAUAUCUAUAGGGGAUCAUAUGAGGGGGAUGUUAUUAUUUUAGAUUUAACCAAUUCGAUGAAUUACGCCUAAAGGUUCACAUCAGAAUAGUGCUAGUUGAUGAGAGUUACUUCGUAAACAAAAAGAGUAAAGUAAAAUGUAUUCCUAUAUGGGUUAUUCUCNNNNNNNNNNNNNNNNNNNNNNNNNNNNNNNNNNNNNNNNNNNNNNNNNNNNNNNNNNNNNNNNNNNNNNNNNNNNNNNNNNNNNNNNNNNNNNNNNNNNUGAAUUAAUUAAGGAAGGAAAUCUAAUUUGAAUUCCCAGCAAUGGAUACUUUGUAAUCCAGUAAUUAUUGUUCGUUUCCUAAAUUGAAUUGCAAUUAAACUCGGCCCAAUCUUUUACUAAAAAAAAAGGAUUGACCCGAAUACAAAAAGACUAUUGUAUGUAUAUAUUUUGGAUAGAUACAUACUUAUCUAGAUAUACAAUACAAAAUCUAAGACUAAACAACUCAAAUUUUCUAUUGUUGUGUUAGAUCCACAAUUAAUCCUAUGGAUCCUUAGGAUUGGCGUAUUCUUUUAUAUCUUGUAGUUUCUGUUUGAAAUGGAAAUCUAUAUGUAUGUAGAUAUCUAUAGGGGAUCAUAUGAGGGGGAUGUUAUUAUUUUAGAUUUAACCAAUUCGAUGAAUUACGCCUAAAGGUUCACAUCAGAAUAGUGCUAGUUGAUGAGAGUUACUUCGUAAACAAAAAGAGUAAAGUAAAAUGUAUUCCUAUAUGGGUUAUUCUCUCAAUUACAAUAAAAUACAACUGGAUCUAGUAUGAGUUGGCGAUCAGAACGUAUAUGGAUAGAAUGCUGCAUAUUAAUGGUAUAUCAAACGCAACUAGUAUUUGGAGUAUGAAAUUUCCAAUUUUUUUUUUUUUGUUUUUUGAGUAUUUAUAUUAAUGUUGGUGUCACAUGUGGUUUAAUUUUUCUCAAAGCUACAAAUAUUGUAUGCAGAUCUUAAUUCUUGUUGGUACUGAGAUUACUGCAACAACAAUAGAAUGGGCCAUGUCUCUUCUACUCAAUCAUCCUGAUGUUAUGAAGAAAACUAGAGUAGUAGAAUUGGACACUCAUGACAGAAAAGACUGUUUGAUGGAAGAAUCCGAUUUCCCCAAAUUACAAUAUCUUCAAAGUAUCAUUUCUGAAACUUUAAGAUUAUUUCCAGCAGCCCCAGUUUUGGUACCACAUAUGUCUUCAGAUAAUUGCCAAAUAGGAGGAUUUAAACAAGCAAGGCAUUAUCAACAAGCAAGGCAGAAGGUGAAGAAGAAACCCAACUCCCCAACUCCAUCAUUUUUGUCAAGAUGAUCACCACAUCAAAGCUUCUCCUUCAGCAGUUGGCCUCUUAAGUAGCCAACUUGCCACAACAUCAUUAAAGAAGAGGGCUAAUCUAUUAAUCAAUUCAAAUCAAAACAUUGGUUUGCCUUUUCAAAAUUAAAUAGAGUGAUUGUAUAUGCAUUCAUUCUCCAAAUUCCUUUGACUUCCCUUGUUGGAUAAAUUUUGUGAUAGCUUCUAUCAAAAAAUAAGACUAAUUAUAAUAGAUUAUAUGCAUAAUUUAAUUUCAUUACUUGCGUCUAAUUUAUAUUUUAGUCCGUUCUUUUGCAUGUGGUAUCAUUUAUUUUUAUAAGAUUUGUUGCUAGAUUUUAUUUAUUUUGGCAUAUGAAAAUUGUAUAAAGCUUGUAUAAUGAUCGAAUGAAUGACACUUGGCAUUCCACCGAAAACCUUGCCUAAUUAUUCAAUGAAUGAUAUUUGGCAUUCGGCCGCAACGUUCCCGAACCCUGUUAGGCAAGACGCGUGACAAGGAAUAACAACUGCCAUCCUUUACAUCUAAUCUCCUUCAUUGGAUUUCCAUAAAUAUUUUUGUCAUUGGCACAGUUAAAGAUGGAUACGAUCACGAGGAAAACAAUUUAAAAUGUUCAAGUAAAGUAGCUUUUGAAUAUAAGCUUGCGUGAGAAAAAAAAAUUAAGGUGGUUGUUUCCACUACGUACUCCAGUGCUUACCUUCAAUAGUCAACAUUAAGUUAAGUUUGAAUAGCAUAUGCAUAGAACCCAUCUUUCUCUUGAUCAAUAUGUCAUCAACAAAACCAUGGAAGCUACAUGGCUAAGUACAUCUCUAUCUCUUCUCUUUCUCUUGUUUGCUUUCAGUGUCUUCCUCCACAAAGAAGAACACAUCCCCGCCUCCCACCAAGCCCGCCUGCUAUUCCAAUUCUUAGUCAUCUCCAUCUCCUCUUGAAACAACCAAUUCAUCGGCAUCUACAGACUCUUUCUCAAAAAUAUGGUCCUAUCUUCUCCCUCCGUUUCGGAUCCCGUCUUCUUGUUAUCAUAUCCUCUCCAUCCACUGUUGAAGAAUGUUUCACCAAGAGCGACAUCAUUUUUGCCAACCGCCCUUGCUUCUUGUUCGGCAAGACUACAACUACACUACCAUUGCUUCAGCACCAUAUGGUGAACACUGGAGCAAUCUCCGCCGCCGCCUCAGCACACUGGAAAUCUUCUCCACAAAUCGCCUUAACAUGUUUCUGGGUAUCCGCUGGGAUGAAAUCAAGCUUCUAUUGCGCCAAUUGUCUCUGAAUUCAAGGGAUCAUUUUGCAAGGGUAGAGUUGAGACCAAUGUUUAUAGAGCUAACAUGUAAUAUUAUAAUGCGAAUGGUUGCAGGAAAUCGGUAUUAUGGGGAAGCAGUGGAUUUCGAGGAAGCCAAACUUUUUCGGGAAGUAAUGAGAGGGAUUUUCGAAUUGGCUGGAACACUGGCGCACCCUCCUCCGCCUCGUCAGCACACUUGAAGUAUUCUCUUCCAAUCACCUUCGCAUGUUCUAAGGCAACCGUAACGAUGAAAUCAGUCAUUUAUUCAUCGUUUGUCUUGGGAUUCCAGGGGUAAUUUUGUGAAGGUAGAGUUGCUGCUAAUAUUUAAUAUUAUAAUGAGGAUGAUUGCAGGAAAGCGCUACUAUGGUGAAGACCUGCACGUUGAGGAGGCGAGGCAUUUCCAAGAUAUUAUAGGGAAGAUCUUUGAAUUGGGCGCAACAUCAAAUCCAAUAGAUUUUUUUGCCUCUGUUGCGAUGGAUAGAUUAUGGAGGUUAUGAGAGGAAGAUGCAUGGCAAAUAGUAUAGUGUUAGAUGCGAUCUUGCAAGGUUUUGAUUAAUGAGCAUACAAUAAAAAUGGUUUAGUGGGUAAUAAUACUAUGAUCGACCAUCUAUUAUCAUUGCAAAAAUCAGAACUAGAAUACUACACAGAUGACAUCAUUAAAGCUUGUGGAAUGACCUCGAAAGUUUUAAGCUGUAGAGGUUUGAGAAUAGGGAAAGAGAUACAUCCAAACUACUGCUCUUUGGAGUGGGAAGGAGGGCGUGUCCUGGGAUUGACCUACCAAACCAUAGUGUGGAUUUGGCUGUGGGGUCAUUAAUUCCAGAGUUUUAUGUGCAAGAAAAUAGACUAUAGGAAAAUUACAUAUAAUAAUGAUGAGAUAUGAGAACAUGUAAUAGAAAUGAUAAUACUAUUUUAAGAAAAUAAAAGUGGACAAAUACUUGGUAUUUCUGUAUAUAAUAUGAAUUAUAAUAAUUUUUACAAAAAGUGGUUGUUAUUGGAAAAAACAAAUAUCAUUUGAAUUAAUUAUAUAUAAUAAUGAUAAAAUAUAAACACAUAUAAUAGAAAUGAUAAUACUAUUUUAGGAAAAAAAGUGGACAAACACUUCGUAUUUUUAUAUAUAAGAUAGAUUAAAAUAAUUUUUAUAAAGCAUAGGUUGUCAUUGGAAAAAACAAACACCAUUUGAAUUAAUUAGAUAUAAUAAUGAGAGGAUAUAAUCACAUAUAAUAGAAAUAAUAAGACUAUUUUUGGAAGAAAAAAUUGUCAAAACACCUCUUAAUAUAUAUCUUAAUAUAUAUAUAUAUAUAUAUACACGCGUGAUAUAGAGCAUACAUGGUACAUCAUGUAUUGUUUCUAUUUCUAAAGAUUGUCCUCAGACUGCUGAAGCCUACCUGCAUCAGUAAAAAUUGAAUAGCAUAUACUCAAUAUAUUAAGAGAGUCUCAUAGUAAUCUUAAUGUAAACCUGAUGUGAGCUACUUCAAAACAUGCAUAUGACUAUUUCUACCUACAAAAUAGAGGAUUGUGGUUUACAUAUGUUACAGUUUUAGCGAAGGGAUGGAGCAAGAUUGAACAAGAAUGACAGAAGUUGUAAAAGAAACUCAACACUACCAUUCUCGUUAAGACUAUUAUAUCAACCAUUCUUACUAUAUGAGUUCUUUUUCAGCAUUUGGCCUUCCAUGCAACCAACUCGCAACACUUUGGUUUGAGGAGAGGCCUUCCUCACACCAUCAUAAAAAAAGAGGCCGCCUCCAUUGCCUCAUUGAUGGUGGCGGCGCUUCAAACUUAGACUUUCAAGGAUACAAUUGACUAUUUGAAACAAUGUUAUGGGUUGUCAUUGUGGUCUGAAUCAUUGAUUUAGUGGUGUAUACAUAUAAAAAGAGAGAGAUAAGGCAAAACUAACAAUGGGUUUGGGAUUGAUUUUGAGAGAGUUAAAAGUAGUCACUAUACUUGGAAACGCAUCCUAUACAAAAUUAGGUAUUUGAUAAACUUUUCAAAUUCUCUUUUAACAGUCUAAAAAAUUACUUGAGUUGAUUAAAGGAAAAUAACUUGAUGCAUGAUUUUUCGAAAAUACUUUUAUAAAAUAUUGUAGAUAAAAGUGCUUUAAUCGAAAUCAUUUCUAAAUGUACUUUAAAUUUCAUAUUUUCAAACUUUCCUAACCUUUCUUUAACCAAAACUCAUUUAAGCUUUGUCUAUAUGUUUUGACUCUUCACUCAUUUUUUUAUUGUCUAAAAAUAUUAUGUAAAAUAACAUGGUCAAACAUGAAUCUUAUUAUUAAUAAUUUUUUUAAAAAAUAAAAAGUAAAUAAAAAAUAAUAUGAGCAAGUUUUUUCUACUCAACCGUACAAAUGUCUUAAAGAAGGGUUAAAAAUAGAGUAAUCAUGUAGGAAAUUAUUACUUGAGAAAAGAAUCCACUAAGGUUAUUUGGGUAAGAGGUUGAAAUAACAACUCUAUUUGUAUAAAUAACUCAUUAAAAAAAAAAAAACAUAAAACACAACCUUAUAGAAAAAAAUACCCUUCUGUUUUUUUAUUUUUCUCCAACAUAAGGAUUUCUCACUAUUUUCAUCUUACCUUUUUUUUCUUUUCUUUAUUCCUUACAAUAAAAAAAUGUUAAAGUUCUCUCAUCCCCUCUUUAUUAAUGGUCAUGAAAAUGAAUUAAGAUAUAUAAAUGACCAAUAUUAUUUUUUCUUCUUAUUUUUUUCUUUUGAUGACAAAGAUUUCUAAAACCCUUACUUUACUAUUACCAAACCAAACAAAAAACUCUCUACUAUUAAAUAUAAAAUAGUAUUAAGAGCCAAUAUAACAAAGGUCAAAUGAUGGCAUACAAUGAAUCUCAUAUGAUGGCAUACAAUGAAUCUCAAAUAUUUAAAACUAUAUUGAUUUCAACAUUGUUGGUCGAUUCUAACUCAAAAUAUUCACUUGAACUUUAUUGCAGUUGGGUUUUAUUUAUAAAGAACUUAAUUGGAGUAAAGUUCUUGAUUAGAAUAUUCACUUGGCCAACUAUAGUCAAGUCAUUUUGAAUAGCUAACUAACAUGAUAUAUAGUAAUGAGACAUUAACUCAUUCUAAUGUUUUAAAAAUGAUACCAAAUUAGUUUAUGAGACUAUAAGGUUGGUUCCUUUGUAAUAUCAAUUUAUAAUAUUAAAUGUGAGGAAAUAAAAUAUAAAAUAAAUUAAAAGGUUGAUAGAAUAAGAUAUAUUUAACUCAAAUAAAUUUUCAAUAUUUUUUAUUUUAUGUAGCUAUUUUUCAAUUAAUUUCCAAUAAAUAACGAAAACAAUUAAAAUCCCUUAUUAGAAAAUAGUAUGAUUCUUAAGAAGACAAUUUAUUAUUAGACAAUUAAAAGAUUAUUCAACGUGUUUGGACUUUGGAUUUUGUGAGCGUGGAAAGGUUUUUAUUAUUAAGAAUUACAAGAAGUUUUUAAUUCUUCCACAUUUCGCGUCGUGCCUGACAUCAUUCGUAGGUCAACCUCAUGCAUGACAUCAUUUUUUUUGGACCCCUUCUCCAAUCGUAGUAGCUGUUUUUUCUUUCCUUUCAUAAUUUCAUUCGUGGACAAUUGAGGCAGGCAGAAAGGGAGGAUGGAGUCAAAGAAGUCGGAUGAGAGAUAGUGGGUGGUUUUUGUACUUUUUUGGUACUAUAAUUUGCUUUAAGGUUAAAUACAACUUAAGCUCAUUAAUUAAUCAUUAUAAAUAUUUUAUUGUUUUAAAAUUUAAACACUGAGCUUGUUUUUAUUUAUUUAUUUAUUGAUAUUUCAAAAUAUUAUUACACACUAAAUAAAUCAGCUUUAUUUUUGUAAAAAUAUUAAUUAUUUAUUUUUCUUGUUUUAUAUAAUUAAGAUAAAGAUAUUUGAAAUAAAAAAUAAGUAAUUUAACAUACUUUUAAAUAUCCUAAAAUAUCAGAUCACAUUAUAAUAACAAAAAAUUUAAUGAUAUAAAAUAAUUAGCAAUUAUAUAGUAAUUAAAGUUUUAAAUUAUAUUUGGUUGCUAAGAAAUGUUAGAAAUAUUUUAUGUAAAGUUUUAUGAAAUACUUAUGGGUUGUAUGUGACACAUAUUUGGAUGUAUUGAUUAUUUAUUUAAAUGGUUAAUUUAUUAUUUUUAAAAUUUUCUAUUAUAGUAAUUAACAACAUCAAAUCAUAAAUUUUUAUUUUUAAUAUUAAUUUAAAAAAUUUAUUUGAGUGAAUAUUUACAUAAAUGUGAAUUGGGUUUUGGAGUUAUAAUUAGAGAAAAUAUAUUUGAAUUAAUGUAGAUAAUUCAAAUAUUAUUAAGGUAAGCAAUGAAAUCAUUAAAAUUGAAACAUGAUCAGGUAAAAAACUUUGUCCUCUUCCUUGUUGAUCAUUCUAUAAAUAAAGCAUAAAUAACCAGGGAAUGCACUUGUAUCUAAGCCUACCUUUCCUUUCACUUCUUCAGUGUCACUCCCAUGGAUGUGUCUUCCCUUCACACAUCGCUCUCUCUUCUCUUCGUGUUUCUCUUGCUUGCUUUCGGAAUCUUCUUCCCAAGAAGACGAAGAUAUGGGAAUCUCCCACCCAGCCCGCCUGCAGUUCCGAUUAUAGGUCAUCUCCACCUCCUCAAACAACCGGUUCAUCGAUCUCUACAACUCCUUUCACAAAAGUACGGUCCAAUCUUCUCCCUCCGAUUAGGAUCCCAGCUCGCGGUCAUCGUUUCCUCUCCCUCCGCCGUCGAAGAAUGCUUCACCAAGAACGACGUCGUCUUGGCCAACCGCCCUCGCUUUGCGUCCGGCAAGUACGUGGGGUACAACUACACCACCAUUGGCGCGGCAUCAUACGGCGACCACUGGCGCAACCUCCGUCGCCUCAGCGCCCUGGAAAUCUUCUCCUCCAAUCGCCUCAACAUGUUUCUAGGCAUCCGCAGGGAUGAAGUCAAGCGUCUACUCCUCCGACUGGCUCGAGAUUCGAGGGAGGGUUUUGCAAAGGUAGAGAUGAGACCCAUGCUUACAGAGCUAACCUUUAAUAUUAUAACGAGGAUGGUUGCAGGAAAGAGAUACUACGGAGAAGACGUGGAAUAUACGGAGGCUAAACGUUUUCGGGAGAUUAUCAGCCAGCUUUUCAUACUGGGCGGGGCAUCAUCAAAUCCAGCAGAUUUUUUGCCCAUAUUGCGAUGGAUUGGGCUCGGAUAUCAUGAGAAGAAGCUAAAGAAGAUCGUGAGAGAGACAAGGGCGAUCUUGCAGGGUUUGAUUGAUGAGCAUAGAAGUGGUAAUGACAAGGGUUCGGUGGAUAAUAAUUCUAUGAUCGACCAUCUGUUAUCCUUGCAAAAAACAGAACCAGAGUACUACACAGAUGACAUUAUUAAAGGGCUUGUACAGGUGAGUGACGCGCUGUUUUCGUAUCUGCUGUAUUUUCAAAGUUUAUUCUAAAAUUUCACAGAAAACAAAAAUAAAAGUGCAGUUUAAUACUUGUAGUGGGAAACUUGGUUUUUGAAGUGUAUAAUGUUGGUUUUUUGCGGGUUUUUUUUACUUCUUUUUUCAUCUCACAAAUUCUUCAAUACAGGUCUUAAUUCUUGCUGGAACCGACACUUCAGCAGCAACAAUGGAAUGGGCAAUGACCCUUCUCCUCAAUCAUCCGGAUGUUUUGGAGAAAGCUAAAGCAGAGUUGGAUAUGCACGUUGGAAAGGACCGCUUGAUAGAAGAAUCUGAUCUUCCCAAACUGCGGUACCUUCGAAGUAUCAUUUCUGAGACUUUGAGAGUAUUUCCUGUGGCCCCUCUGUUACUGCCCCAUAUGUCCUCAGAUGACUGUCAAAUAGGGGGUUUUGAUAUACCACGAGGCACAUUAUUACUGGUAAAUGUAUGGGCCCUUCACAGAGACCCUCAGGUGUGGGAAGAUCCUACAAGUUUCAAACCUGAAAGGUUUGAAAAUGGAGAACGUGAGAAUUACAAACUAGUACCAUUUGGAAUAGGAAGAAGAGCCUGUCCUGGAGCUGGCCUAGCUCAGCGAGUGGUGGGUUUGGCUUUGGGGUCGUUGAUUCAGUGCUAUGACUGGAAGAAGAUUAGCAACACCGCUAUUGACACCAUUGAAGGGAAAGGGCUGACCAUGCCCAAACUGCAGCCAUUGGAAGCCAUGUGUAAGGCACGUGAGAUUAUAAACGAGGUUCACUUGAACUAGAAAACAAUAUUUAGUUGGUAUUAGUACUCUGCUGUUUUGCUUGUAUUGAUGCAAUAAGCAUUCUCUGAUGCAUUUCGAGUAUCGUCC